rnacentral:rRNA from 1 species
GAGUUUGAUCGUGGCUCAGGAUGAACGCUGGCGGCGUGCCUAAUACAUGCAAGUCGAGCGAACAGACGAGGAGCUUGCUCCUCUGACGUUAGCGGCGGACGGGUGAGUAACACGUGGAUAACCUACCUAUAAGACUGGGAUAACUUCGGGAAACCGGAGCUAAUACCGGAUAAUAUAUUGAACCGCAUGGUUCAAUAGUGAAAGACGGUUUUGCUGUCACUUAUAGAUGGAUCCGCGCCGCAUUAGCUAGUUGGUAAGGUAACGGCUUACCAAGGCAACGAUGCGUAGCCGACCUGAGAGGGUGAUCGGCCACACUGGAACUGAGACACGGUCCAGACUCCUACGGGAGGCAGCAGUAGGGAAUCUUCCGCAAUGGGCGAAAGCCUGACGGAGCAACGCCGCGUGAGUGAUGAAGGUCUUCGGAUCGUAAAACUCUGUUAUUAGGGAAGAACGAAAUGUAGUAAGUAACUAUGCACGUCUUGACGGUACCUAAUCAGAAG